rnacentral:rRNA from 1 species
AUUGAACGCUGGCGGCAGGCCUAACACAUGCAAGUCGAACGCGUGGCGGACGGGUGAGUAAUGUCUGGGAAACUGCCCGAUGGAGGGGGAUAACUACUGGAAACGGUAGCUAAUACCGCAUACAAUCGGAUGUGCCCAGAUGGGAUUAGCUAGUAGGUGGUGUAAUGGCUCACCUGGGCGACGAUCCCUAGCUGGUCUGAGAGGAUGACCAGCCAAACGGGAACGGAGACACGGUCCAGACUCCUACGGGAGGCAGCAGUGGGGAAGAUUGCACACUGGGCGCAAGCCUGAUGCAGCCAUGCCGCGUGUAUGAAGAAGGCCUUCGGGUUGUAAAGUACUUUCAGCGAGGAGGCGUUACUCGCAGAAGAAGCAACGGCUAACUCCGUGCCAGCAGCCGCGGUAAUAC